UCCGUAGGGGGCAAGCGUUGUCCGGAUUUAUUGGGCGUAAAGAGCGUGUAGGCGGCUAGGUAGGUCCGUUGUGAAAACUCGAGGCUCAACCUCGAGACGUCGAUGGAAACCAUCUAGCUAGAGUCCGGAAGAGGAGAGUGGAAUUCCUGGUGUAGCGGUGAAAUGCGCAGAUAUCAGGAAGAACACCAGUGGCGAAGACGGCUCACUGGCCUGAUACUGACGCUGAGACGCGAAAGCGUGGGGAGCGAACAGG
rnacentral:rRNA from 1 species